CCUACGGGUGGCAGCAGUGGGGAAUAUUGCACAAUGGGCGCAAGCCUGAUGCAGCCAUGCCGCGUGUAUGAAGAAGGCCUUCGGGUUGUAAAGUACUUUCAGCGGGGAGGAAGGUAGUAAAGUUAAUACCUUUGCUCAUUGACGUUACCCGCAGAAGAAGCACCGGCUAACUCCGUGCCAGCAGCCGCGGUAAUACGGAGGGUGCAAGCGUUAAUCGGAAUUACUGGGCGUAAAGCGCACGCAGGCGGUUUGUUAAGUCAGAUGUGAAAUCCCCGGGCUCAACCUGGGAACUGCAUCUGAUACUGGCAAGCUUGAGUCUCGUAGAGGGGGGUAGAAUUCCAGGUGUAGCGGUGAAAUGCGUAGAGAUCUGGAGGAAUACCGGUGGCGAAGGCGGCCCCCUGGACGAAGACUGACGCUCAGGUGCGAAAGCGUGGGGAGCAAACAGGAUUAGAUACCCUUGUAGUC
rnacentral:rRNA from 1 species